rnacentral:rRNA from 1 species
GACGAACGCUGGCGGCGUGCCUAAUACAUGCAAGUAGGACGCAGUUGCGAACGGGUGAGUAACGCGUAGGUAACUACCUAUUAGAGGGGGAUAACUAUUGGAAACGAUAGCUAAUACCGCAUACUAGUAGAUGGACCUGCGUUGUAUUAGCUAGUAGGUAGGGUAAUGGCCUACCUAGGCAACGAUACAUAGCCGCCCGGGAAGGGUGGUCGGCCACACUGGGACUGGGACACGUCCCAGACGCCUUCGGGGAGCAGCAGUAGGGAAACGUCGGCAAUGGGGGGAACCCUGACCGAACAACGCGGCGGGAGUGAAGAGGGUUUUCGGGUCGUAAAGCUCUGUUGUUAAGGAAGCGGUACUUAACCAGAAAGGGACGGCUAACUACGUGCCAGCAGCCGCGGUAAUAC